rnacentral:rRNA from 2 species
ACGACUCUCGGCAACGGAUAUCUCGGCUCUCGCAUCGAUGAAGAACGUAGCGAAAUGCGAUACUUGGUGUGAAUUGCAGAAUCCCGUGAACCAUCGAGUCUUUGAACGCAAGUUGCGCCCGAAGCUGUCAAGCUGAGGGCACGUCUGCCUGGGCGUCACA